rfam:Punica granatum cultivar Dabenzi scaffold223, whole genome shotgun sequence.
AGCGGCGGUGAUGAGUCCUACAGACCUGUAAUGACUUGCGAAUAUGAUCGCAGCUCUUUAUGAACAUCUAAGGGACUGAGUCACG